rnacentral:rRNA from 1 species
UCGCGAAAACUUGUCAAUGGGGGAAACCCCCGAACAGGGAAGUCCAAGUGCGUGCGUUUUACGUACGCUGUUCGGUUGCCUAAAAAGCAGCUGAAGUAAGGGCUGGGUAAGACAGGUGCCAGCCGCCGCGGUAAUACCUGCAGCCCAAGUGGUAAUCGUUAUUAUUGAGCCUAAAGCGUCCGUAGCCGGUUUGGUAAACCCUCGGGUAAAUCGGGCAGCUUAACUGUCCGAACUCCGGGGGGACUGCCAGACUUGGGACCGGGAGAGGUCAGAGGUACUUCAGGGGUAGGGGCUAAAGUCCUGUAAUCCUUGAAGGACCACCAGUGGCGAAGGCGUCUGACUAGAACGGAUCCGACGGUAAGGGACGAAACCCUGGGGCGCAAACCGGAUUAGAUACCCGGGUAGUCCAGGGCGUAAACGCUGCAGGCUUGGUGUUGGGGACCCUACGAGGGUACUCAGUGCCGGAGUGAAGAUGUUAAGCCUGCCGCUUGGGGAGUACGUCCGCAAGGAUGAAACUUAAAGGAAUUGGCGGGAGAGCACAGCAACGGGG